UGGUUUCCAGUGGCCAUGCCUAAUCAAAAAACUUUCAAUGAGACCUGGUGGUCCUGCAAAGCUUCGAAUUACGGGAAUUGAGCUUCCUCAGCCAGGAUUUAGGCCUGCAGAAAGGGCAGAGGAAACAGGAAGGCGUUUAGAGAACUACUGCAAGAAGUUCAAUGUACCAUUUGAAUACAACUGCAUUGCACAGAAAUGGGAAACUAUCCGGCUCGAGGAUCUAAAGAUAGACAGGAAUGAAAUAACUCUUGUUAGCUGUUUGUACAGACUGAAGAACCUUCCUGAUGAAACUGUGGCAUUGAAUUGUCCAAGAGAAGCUGUGUUGAAGCUGAUCAGGAAGAUUAAUCCAAAAGUCUUCUUCCAUGGAGUUGCCAAUGGAAGUUAUAACGCACCGUUUUUCCUGACUCGGUUUAAGGAAGCACUCUACCACUUCUCAUCGUUGUUUGAUAUGUUUGAGGCUAACGUGCCUUGCGAAGACCCGCAAAGGUUGAUGCUUGAGAGAGGGUUGUUUGGAAGGGAUGCUAUAAAUGUUAUAGCUUGUGAGGGUGCCGAGAGGGUCGAAAGGCCUGAGACCUACAAGCAAUGGCAGGUCAGGAACAAAAGAGCUGGGUUCAGGCAAAUCAGGUUUGAUUCUGAUUUAGUGAAUGAAACCAAAGCAAUGGUGAAGAAGGAAUACCAUAAAGAUUUUGUAGUUGAUGUCGAUGGUAAGUGGGUUUUGCAGGGAUGGAAAGGACGCAUUUUGAAUGCUUUAUCUGCUUGGGUUCCUGCCUAAGCAAAAUGUCCAAAAAGUGUUUUGAAUGGUUGACUGAAGUUUCAGAAGGGAUAGUGAACCAACACAUGCUAAUUUUGUAUUGAAAAAUGAAUUUGUUUUCAUUGGAAUUUAUUUUUAUGUUUAUAAUAUGAUCUGUUUUUGUUGUUGUCAAGUGUUAAAAAGAUGUAUGUAGAUUAGAGGACAAGUCUUACUAUUCCAUCAUGGAAUGGAAUCAUGGGACCAAUGAAUACAUUGAUCACAUUUUAAUACAUUUUCCCAUGAAUUCAAAACUGAAUUUAGUACUUCAAAUGAUUUAUAUAUUGAUAUAAUAACAGGUUUUGACGAAUGACUUGGGGAACAAGGGUGCACCUGCAUCUGAUUGACCACUUCAUAUUAUUUUGUUAUGAUACCAAUAGAAGAAAAGCCAAGUCAUCAAAGUGGGAUUAACAAAUUGGUUAGUGAAAAUGGACAUGUGUCAAUUGAUCCAACAAUUAAGGGAAAAAAGCUAAGAGAAAGUAUUCUUUGAACCCUCUAUAAAAGGAAGAAAUGAUGAGCAAGAAAAGUGUCUACAAAAAUGAUUGGAAUCACUCUCUUCUCUCUGUGAGCUCAGUGCUCUUCUGGUUGCUAUUAGUCUUGUACUUGGCUAUAGCAUUGUUAUCCUUCUUUUACCUUUCAUUUAUCAGUCCAACAAUUGUACCUCAUUGUACUGUUUUAAUCCAAGGUUAUUGAAUACAACUUGAGUAUUUCACAUUUUCAUCUUUGUUGAUUUACUGAGUUGUUACAUAUUUCAUAUAUUUUUAGAACAUGAAAAAUCAAACUCUAGAUCACACAGCACUUAUCACUAAUUCCUGUUUUAUAUAUUAUAGAAUAUCAUAUCAUGUAUUAUCACAAGAUAAGAUAAUAAGAAAGAGGGGUUGGCGGCUAUGAUACUCCUUCCUAGCAGCUUCCUCAGUACAAAGAAAGAAUCAUUUAUGAAUUCUAUAUUCUAAUUCUAUAUAACAAAGUUGUGACUCCAAGUCAUCAAACAAUUUUCCUCUUCAGAGUUGUUGGAUAGCAACUUUUCCUAGGUUUGUCCGAAGUUAUAUUCACUAGUGUCUACAAUAUUUUUACUCUAAUUCAUUCUUCUUUGUUCUAUUAUAUCAUCAUCAUUAUUAUCAUCCAAAAAUAGAGUCGUCUAUUUAGUUUUGUGAAUCUUGUUUCUUGCUGUUAUCAAAUAUAUCAAUCAACUAUGCUAUCUUUUCCUACUUCUGUUUUUGUUCUGUCUAUGGUUUAGUUGAUUCAUCAAAGUUUUCCUAAUCAGAUGAAUAUUUUUGGCUUCUGAGACACAAUCUUCCAAAACAUAUAUUGUAAGAGUCUGAGUUUUUUGUUUCAAUUUUGAUAUUAGCCUUGUUUCAAUAUGCUUUCUCCUAACACCUUUCUGCAAGAUUUUAGUGUUCCAAACUCAGUAAACCAAGUAACAAAUGGGUUUGAAUUAGAAGAUUCACCGUCUUCACCUUCUUCUUCUGGCACAAGCUCAAAUGGAGAAUCCUUGGAAACGACAAGAUAUUCCAAUAACAUUCUAAGAUACAUAAAUGACAUCCUCAUGGAUGAAGAAGAUGACCUGGAGCAAAAACCCUGCAUGUUGCAGGAAUGUUUAAGACUUCAGGCUGCUGAAAAGUCCUUCUAUGAUGUUCUUGGCCAUAACCAGCCUUCACCAAAUGAUAGCACUGACCCAGAUGGAAAUUUCGAUCACGAUGCUAGUUUUGAGAGAAAUGGCAGCAGCUACACCACUGAUAACUCAUAUGAAUCUAAUUGGGUCAACCAUGUCGUCGAAUUCGACUCUUCUUCCAUACAACUACAAACUCCUUUAAUAGAAAAAAACUACGAUGACUUGACAGAAGCUGAUCCAGUUGUCAUUGAGACACGAGGUGAUAAACAUUUUUGCAACGGAACUUGGAGUUGGAAUGACAUUCAGCCAGUGACGGUGAAAGAAGUUUCACCUUCAACAGUACCAGAAAAAAGAAGUCAUAAGAUGGAUAAUGAUAAUGGUACUUGUAAUGAACAAGAAGGAAGAGCUAGCAAGGUUUCAGCUAUUUUCUCUGAUGAAUUAGAGCCACCAGAGAUUUUAGAUGAGGUACUGCUUUAUCAGACAGGAAAGACUCUCACUCAACACCAACAAGCAUCUUAUAAUUAUGAUUCAGGAGGAAAGGAAAAGGAAACACAUUCGCUUUUGAAGAAAGCAUCUACUACGAAAAAUGUCGCGGCUGUGGAUUUGUGGACCAUGCUUAAUCAAUGUGCACAAGCUGUGGCGAGCUACGAUCAAAGGAAUACAGAUGAGCUACUCAAACAGAUUAGGCAACACUCUUCGCCUUUCGGCGAUGGACUCCAACGUUUAGCUCAUUACUUUGCUAAUGGUCUUGAGAUAAGAUUGGCUGCCGAGACGCCAUCAUAUCAGCCUCUUUAUGUGGCAACUGCUGGAGAUAUGUUGAAAGCUUACAAACUAUUUGUUACUGCGUCUCCUUUGCAGAGAAUGACAAAUGCUUUGCUAACCAAAACGAUUUUCAAAAUAGUGAAGAACGAGAGCAGCGUUCAUGUUAUUGAUUUUGGAAUUUGCUAUGGUUUCCAGUGGCCGUGCCUCGUCAGAAAACUAUCAUUAAGACCUGGUGGUCCUCCGAAGCUUCGAAUUACAGGAAUUGAGCUUCCUCAGCGAGGAUUUAGACCUGCAGAAAGGGUGGAGGAAACCGGACGGCGUCUAGCAAACUACUGCAAGAAGUUCAAUGUACCAUUUGAAUACAACUUCAUUGCACAGAAAUGGGAAACCAUCCGUCUCAAGGAUCUAAAGAUAGACAGGAAUGAAAUAACUCUUGUUAGCUGUUUGUACAGACUGAAGAACCUUCCUGAUGAAACUGUGGCAUUGAAUUGUCCAAGAGAAGCUGUGUUGAAGCUGAUCAGGAAGAUUAAUCCAAAAGUCUUCUUCCAUGGAGUUGCCAAUGGAAGUUAUAACGCACCGUUUUUCCUGACUCGGUUUAAGGAAGCACUCUACCACUUCUCAUCGUUGUUUGAUAUGUUUGAGGCUAAUGUGCCUCGUGAAGACACGCAGAGGUCAAUGCUUGAGAGAGGGUUGUUUGGAAGGGAUGCUAUAAAUGUUAUAGCUUGUGAGGGUGCCGAGAGGGUCGAAAGGCCUGAGAC
rnacentral:lncRNA from 1 species